rnacentral:misc_RNA from 1 species
GGAAGUAAAAGUCGUAACAAGUUUUCCGUAGGUGAACCUGCGGAAGGAUCAUUAUUGGAUUUUGAAACUUCAGGCUGCUGCUGGCUCUCCUCGGAGGGCAUGUGCACGCUUGUUGUCCAUUAUUUCUCCCACUGUGCACAAAUUGUAGACCUUUCAGUAGGCCUAUGUUGUUUUUCACAAUCUCUGAAUGUAAUAGAAUGGUUUUGAAUCUUGGGAAAUACAAUACAACUUUCAGCAACGGAUCUCUUGGCUCUC